CCUACGGGUGGCAGCAGUGGGGAAUAUUGGGCAAUGGGCGCAAGCCUGACCCAGCAACGCCGCGUGAAGGAAGAAGGCCCUCGGGUUGGAAACUUCUUUUAUCAGGGACGAAACAAAUGACGGUACCUGAUGAAUAAGCCACGGCUAACUACGUGCCAGCAGCCGCGGUAAUACGUAGGUGGCAAGCGUUAUCCGGAUUUGCUGGGUUUAAAGGGCGUGUAGGCGGGAGAGCAAGUCAGACGUGAAAUUCCAGGGCUCAACCCUGGCACUGCGUUUGAAACUGUUCUUCUUGAGUGAUGGAGAGGCAGGCGGAAUUCCGGGUGUAGCGGUGAAAUGCGUAGAUAUACCGAGGAACACCAGUGGCGAAGGCGGCCUGCUGGACAUUAACUGACGCUGAGGCGCGAAAGCGUGGGGAGCAAACAGGAUUAGAUACCCCUGUAGUC
rnacentral:rRNA from 1 species